GGGCCUGUGGCGCAGUGGUAGCGCACUUGACUGGCAGUCAAGGGGUCAAGGGUUCGAAUCCCUUCAGGUCCA
rnacentral:tRNA from 1 species